rnacentral:rRNA from 1 species
UAGUGGCGAGCGAACGGGGACUAGCCCUUAAGCUAGACAACUGGUAGGAGAAGGCUCUGGAAAGUGCCGCCAUAGUGGGUGAUAGCCCCGUAUCCGAAACCUGAGUCUGGUGAAAUCGAGUAGGACGGGACACGUGAUAUCCUGUCUGAACAUGGGGGGACCAUCCUCCAAGGCUAAAUACUCGUAAUCGACCGAUAGUGAACCAGUACCGUGAGGGAAAGGCGAAAAGAACCCCGGGAGGGGAGUGAAAUAGAUCCUGAAACCGCAUGCAUACAAAAAGUCGGAGCCUGGAAACGGGUGACGGCGUACCUUUUGUAUAAUGGGUCAGCGACUUACAUUCAGUGGCAAGGUUAACCAUAUAGGGAAGCCGUAGAGAAAUCGAGUCCGAACAGGGCGACAGUCGCUGGGUGUAGACCCGAAACCAAGUGAUCUACUCAUGGCCAGGAUGAAGGUGCGGUAACACGCCCUGGAGGUCCGAACCCACUAAUGUUGAAAAAUUAGGGGAUGAGCUGUGGGUAGGGGUGAAAGGCUAAACAAACUUGGAAAUAGCUGGUUCUCUCCGAAAACUAUUUAGGUAGUGCCUCAAGUAUCACCAUCGGGGGUAGAGCACUGUUAUGGCUAGGGGGUCAUGGCGACUUACCAAACCAUUGCAAACUCCGAAUACCGAUGAGUACAGCUUGGGAGACAGUGCACCGGGUGCUAACGUCCGGACACAAGAGGGAAACAACCCAGACCGCCAGCUAAGGUCCCCAAAAUUGGCUAAGUGGGAAACG